rnacentral:rRNA from 1 species
ACAACUGUGAUGCCCCUAGUAAUGGCGAAUGAAACGGGCAGAGCCCAGCACCGAACCGCUGGCCUUUCGGUCAUGGGGAAUGUGGUGUUUGGGAAUUCCUUUCAGGAGAAUUUGAUGCGUCCAAGUCCGCCUUGACUGGGGCCACUACCCGUAGAGGGUGAUAGGCCCGUAAGACUGUUAGUUUCUUCUGCUGGUUUUUCCCUAGAGUCGAGUUGCUUGGGAGUGCAGCUCAAAGUGCCAGGUAAACUCCUGGUAAGGCUAAAUAUGACCCCGAGACCGAUAGCGAACAAGUACCGUGAGGGAAAAUUGAAAAGCACUUUGAAGAGAGAGUUCAAUAGUUCGUGAAACUGUGUAGUGGUAAACGGAGGGGUUUCUCGAAGUCUGUGUUGGAGGUUCAGGCUAGCUUCUGGGCAGCUUGCGGGUUGGUGAUCAGCAAUGACACUGCCUGUUUGUCGGCUUGGUUGAUGGCUGCACUUCUCCAGCACUUCACGCAACGAACUGCUAUCCGCACACCGAGGCAGUGGGUGAAGUUUGUUCCUUUUUGGUGCAAGCCCCGCUUUCCUGGCUGUGCAGGUGGCAGGUACCAGAGUAGUCUCGUAUAGCGAGUGUCUCACUGGCACGGGCUGCAUCUCUGUUGCGAGUAGGUCGGUGGCCCCUCCGACCCGUCUUGAAACACGGACCAAGGAGUCUAACAUGUGUGCAAGUCAUUGAGUGCACUAAACUCAAGGGCGCAGUGAAAGCAAACUUGGGGGUGAUCCCUUUUAUGGGCGCAACCCCGGCGCUUCGCUUCGACCUCGCUUCUGGCGGAGCAGCAAGAGCACACACGUUGGGACCCGAAAGAUGGUGAACUAUGCCUGGCCAGGUUGAAGUCAGGGGAAACCCUGAUGGAGGAACCGUAGCGAUUCUGACGUGCAAAUCGAUCGUCGGAGCUGGGUAUAGGGGCGAAAGUCUAAUCGAACCAUCUAG